rnacentral:lncRNA from 1 species
AAAAAUUAUUUCUUAGCCUUGAUUGGAUUCUAGCCAGGCAUCCAGUGUUGUAGCUCUCACAUUCUCACUACAUGUAGUAAUAUUUUCCCUGUUUUCAUUGCUACCAUUUCAGUUUGUCUGCACAUCAAAAAUCACAUGUGGAUAGAAAUGGUCUCUUCCCCUGAAGUACUGUACAUGAAUCCUGUGCAAGCUAUACCAAAACCAGCCAUGGUGUUGUCUGAGCCCGAUCCUGCAAAUCAUUUCUCCAGGCAGCCCUCGCAUGCAAGGGAUCCCAGGCAUAGCAAAAAGACUGCGGGUUUGACUGGUGAGUUACGUGCUCGGGUUGUCUUAUCACCUCUUGUGCUGACUUACCAUGUACAGGAAGAGCCUAACAAUUACUGGCCUGUAUUUUCUUCCCCAGUUAGCACAUAUUUAUUUGCAAAGGGGACUGGGGCCACAUAUCCCUUAUUUACAUAUUUGUUUUUUACUAAAUCUUACUCUGCACAGGCUGCAACUAAGUGGCAUACAGAACUGAAUGUAAAUUCUCACCAAACUGAUGAUUGA